CUUUUUCUUUUUCUUCUUCUUCUUCCUCUUCCCUCCCUGUACAACCAAAUGACAGAAGCGCUGAAAGACAACCAUUUGGCAUCGGAGAGAUGACAAUGACAGCGGCUUUGUUCAGAUAUGAAUUCUCCAACUUCGAUGGCCAAGGUUGUGGCACUCGUUGAGCUCUGCGACAAAUUACAAUGGUGGAGCCGACUUGUUGCACCGCUAAAUUGUAAGAAAUGGGAGCAGAGGAUUAAGGGAGAAGGCACAUGGGUGCCUUGAUCAAUUUAUGGUAUUAGAUUCCUCUCGCUGGAGUUGCAAAAAUGGAAAAGGAAAAAAAAUAGUUUCUCUUUUGUUGCUCUGUAGGAUAGAUGUGGGCAGAG
rnacentral:lncRNA from 1 species